AUUGAUUUUAUGCUUGCAUAAAUGAUUUUUGGAUUCGGAGCGAGUGGCGAACUGGUGAGUAACACGUGGGUAACCUGCCCCGAAGCGGGGGAUAACAUUUGGAAACAAGUGCUAAUACCGCAUAAUUAGUUGGAACCGCAUGGUUCCAACUUGAAAGAUGGCUCUGCUAUCACUUUGGGAUGGACCCGCGCCGUAUUAGUUAGUUGGUGAGAUAAAAGCCCACCAAGACGAUGAUACGUAGCCGACCUGAGAGGGUAAUCGGCCACAUUGGGACUGAGACACGGCCCAGACUCCUACGGGAGGCAGCAGUAGGGAAUCUUCCACAAUGGACGAAAGUCUGAUGGAGCAACGCCGCGUGAGUGAUGAAGGUUUUCGGAUCGUAAAACUCUGUUGUUAAAGAAGAACAAGUGUUAGAGUAACUGUUAACACUUUGACGGUAUUUAACCAGAAAGCCACGGCUAACUACAUGCCAGCAGCCGCGGUAAUACGUAGGUGGCAAGCGUUGUCCGGAUUUAUUGGGCGUAAAGCGAGCGCAGGCGGUUUUGUAAGUCUGCUGUGAAAGCCCUCAGCUCAACUGAGGAAGUGCAGUGGAAACUACAAAACUUGAGUACAGAAGAGGAAAGUGGAACUCCAUGUGUAGCGGUGAAAUGCGUAGAUAUAUGGAAGAACACCAGUGGCGAAGGCGGCUUUCUGGUCUGUUACUGACGCUGAGGCUCGAAAGCAUGGGUAGCGAACAGGAUUAGAUACCCUGGUAGUCCAUGCCGUAAACGAUGAAUACUAGGUGUUGGAGGGUUUCCGCCCUUCAGUGCCGCAGCUAACGCAUUAAGUAUUCCGCCUGGGGAGUACGACCGCAAGGUUGAAACUCAAAGGAAUUGACGGGGGCCCGCACAAGUGGUGGAGCAUGUGGUUUAAUUCGAUGCUACGCGAAGAACCUUACCAGCUCUUGACAUCUUCUGCCAACCCAAGAGAUUGGGCGUUCCCUUCGGGGACAGAAUGACAGGUGGUGCAUGGUUGUCGUCAGCUCGUGUCGUGAGAUGUUGGGUUAAGUCCCGCAACGAGCGCAACCCUUAUUAUUAGUUGCCAGCAUUUAGUUGGGCACUCUAGUGAGACUGCCGGUGAUAAA
rnacentral:rRNA from 1 species